UACGAAGGGGGCUAGCGUUGUUCGGAAUUACUGGGCGUAAAGCGCACGUAGGCGGAUCUUUAAGUCAGGGGUGAAAUCCCAGAGCUCAACUCUGGAACUGCCUUUGAUACUGGGUAUCUCGAGUAUGGAAGAGGUGAGUGGAAUUCCGAGUGUAGAGGUGAAAUUCGUAGAUAUUCGGAGGAACACCAGUGGCGAAGGCGGCUCACUGGUCCAUUACUGACGCUGAGGUGCGAAAGCGUGGGGAGCAAACAGG
rnacentral:rRNA from 1 species